rnacentral:rRNA from 1 species
AGCAGUCGCCGCGGUAAUACAGAGGGUGCGAGCGUUAAUCGGAUUUACUGGGCGUAAAGCGUGCGUAGGCGGCUUUUUAAGUCGGAUGAGAAAUCCCUGAGCUUAACUUAGGAAUUGCAUUCGAUACUGGGAAGCUAGAGUAUGGGAGAGGAUGGUAGAAUUCCAGGUGUAGCGGUGAAAUGCGUAGAGAUCUGGAGGAAUACCGAUGGCGAAGGCAGCCAUCUGGCCUAAUACUGACGCUGAGGUACGAAAGCAUGGGGAGCAAACAGGAUUAGAUACCCGCGUAGUCCCUGUCUCUUAUAC